rnacentral:rRNA from 1 species
GAUUUCUGGCGAGAUAUAUCUGGCCGGCCACGGUUUCGUGUGUUAGUGCUUGAUAUUCUAGCCAUCCUUCCAAUGGCUAUUCAUCCUUCUUCAUUGAGGUGGUGAGUGGUAUUGGAUCUUUUACUUUGAAAAAAUUAGAGUGUUUCAAGCAGGCUUUAUGCUAUGAAUACAUUAGCAUGGAAUAAUAAUUUAGGACUUCGGUUCUAUUUUGUUGGUUUCUAUAACUGAAGUAAUGAUUGAUAGGGAUAGUUGGGGGUGCUAGUAUUGGCCGGCCAGAGGUGAAAUUCUUGGAUUCGGUCAAGACUAACUUAUGCGAAAGCAUU